AUUGAACGCUGGCGGCAGGCUUAACACAUGCAAGUCGAGCGGGGGAAAGUACUUCGGUACUGACCUUAGCGGCGGACGGGUGAGUAAUGCCUAGGAAUCUGCCUGUUAGUGGGGGAUAACUCGGGGAAACUCGGGCUAAUACCGCAUACGUCCUACGGGAGAAAGUGGGGGAUCUUCGGACCUCACGCUAACAGACGAGCCUAGGUCGGAUUAGGUAGUAGGUGAGGUAAUGGCUAACCUAGGCGACGAUCCGUAACUGGUCUGAGAGGAUGAUCAGUCACACUGGAACUGAGACACGGUCCAGACUCCUACGGGAGGCAGCAGUGGGGAAUAUUGGACAAUGGGCGAAAGCCUGAUCCAGCCAUGCCGCGUGUGUGAAGAAGGUCUUCGGAUUGUAAAGCACUUUAAGUUGGGAGGAAGGGUAUUCACCUAAUACGUGGGUACUUUGACGUUACCAACAGAAUAAGCACCGGCUAACUCUGUGCCAGCCGCCGCGGUAACAC
rnacentral:rRNA from 1 species